rnacentral:rRNA from 1 species
CCUACGGUGCGCAGCAGUCGAGAAUCAUUCACAAUGGGGGAAACCCUGAUGGUGCGACGCCGCGUGGGGGAAUGAAGGUCUUCGGAUUGUAAACCCCUGUCAUGUGGGAGCAAAUUAAAAAGAUAGUACCACAAGAGGAAGAGACGGCUAACUCUGUGCCAGCAGCCGCGGUAAUACAGAGGUCUCAAGCGUUGUUCGGAAUCACUGGGCGUAAAGCGUGCGUAGGCUGUUUCGUAAGUCGUGUGUGAAAGGCGCGGGCUCAACCCGCGGACGGAACAUGAUACUGCGAGACUAGAGUAAUGGAGGGGGAACCGGAAUUCUCGGUGUAGCAGUGAAAUGCGUAGAUAUCGAGAGGAACACUCGUGGCGAAGGCGGGUUCCUGGACAUUAACUGACGCUGAGGCACGAAGGCCAGGGGAGCGAAAGGGAUUAGAUACCCCGGUAGUC